CAACGGAUCUCUUGGUUCCGGCAUCGAUGAAGAACGCAGCGAAAUGCGAUAACUAAUGUGAAUUGCAGAAUUCAGUGAAUCAUCGAGUCUUUGAACGCACAUUGCGCCCCCUGGUAUUCCGGGGGGCAUGCCUGUCCGAGCGUCAUUGCUGCCCUCAAGCCCGGCUUGUGUGUUGGGUCUUCGUCCCCCCCACCCGGGGGGACGGGCCCGAAAGGCAGUGGCGGCACCGCGUCCGGUCCUCGAGUGUAUGGGGCUCUGUCACUCACUCCGUAGGCCUGGCCGGUGCCCGCCGACCCCCCGUCUUCCUUUUUUCCAGGUUGACCUCGGAUCAGGUAGGGAUACCCGCUGAACUUAA
rnacentral:misc_RNA from 1 species